rnacentral:tRNA from 1 species
GCGGGGUGUAGCGCAGAGGCUGUCGCGUCGGUCUCCAAAACCGGAACACGCUGGUUCGAAUCCAGUCGCCCCGCCCC